rnacentral:rRNA from 1 species
UACGUAGGGGGGCAAGCGUUGUCCGGAAUUAUUGGGCGUAAAGAGCUCGUAGGCGGUCUGUCGCGUCGGCUGUGAAAAUCCCGAGGCUCAACCUCGGGUCUGCAGUCGAUACGGGCAAACUAGAGUAUUGCAGGGGAGACUGGAAUUCCUGGUGUAGCGGUGAAAUGCGCAGAUAUCAGGAGGAACACCGGUGGCGAAGGCGGGUCUCUGGGCCGUAACUGACGCUGGAGGAGCGAAAGCAUGGGGAGCGAACAGG